rnacentral:rRNA from 1 species
UACGGAGGGGGCUAACGUUGUUCGGAAUUACUGGGCGUAAAGCGCGUGUAGGCGGCCCGGAAAGUCGGAUGUGAAAGCCCUGGGCUUAACCCAGGAAGUGCAUUCGAAACUCCCGGGCUUGAGUUCUGGAGAGGAAGGCGGAAUUCUCGGUGUAGAGGUGAAAUUCGUAGAUAUCGAGAGGAACACCGGUGGCGAAGGCGGCCUUCUGGACAGUGACUGACGCUGAGACGCGAAAGCGUGGGGAGCAAACAGG